rnacentral:tRNA from 1 species
UUGGAAAGUAAGGUUUUUAACUGUUUUCCCUUGGAUUUAGCUACCCCUUUUCUGCCCUUUCACGGCGGCAACACGGGUUCGAAUCCCGUACGGGACGCCA